rnacentral:rRNA from 1 species
AUUGCACGCUGGCGGCAGGCCUAACACAUGCAAGUCGAGCGCGCGGCGCACGGGUGAGUAAUGUCUGGGAAACUGCCUGAUGGAGGGGGAUAACUACUGGAAACGGUAGCUAAUAUCGCAUACCAUCAGAUGUGCCCACAUGGGAUUAGCUCGUAGGUGGGGUAACGGCUCACCUAGGCGACGCUCCCUAGCUGGUCUGAGAGGAUGACCAGCCACACUGGAACUGAGACACGGUCCAGACUCCUACGGGAGGCAGCAGUGGGGAAUAUUGCACAAUGGGCGCAAGCCUGAUGCAGCCAUGCCGCGUGUGUGAAGAAGGCCUUCGGGUUGUAAAGCACUUUCAGCGGGGAGGCGUUACCCGCAGAAGAAGCACCGGCUAACUCCGUGCCAGCAGCCGCGGUAAUUC